GCAGCCGCCGCGGUAAUACGAAGGGUGCAAGCGUUACUCGGAAUUACUGGGCGUAAAGCGUGCGUAGGCGGCUUCUUAAGUCGGAUGUGAAAUCCCUGAGCUUAACUUAGGAAUUGCAUUCGAUACUGGGAAGCUAGAGUAUGGGAGAGGAUGGUAGAAUUCCAGGUGUAGCGGUGAAAUGCGUAGAGAUCUGGAGGAAUACCGAUGGCGAAGGCAGCCAUCUGGCCUAAUACUGACGCUGAGGUACGAAAGCAUGGGGAGCAAACAGGAUUAGAUACCCCCGUAGUCCCUGUCUCUUAUAC
rnacentral:rRNA from 1 species